rnacentral:rRNA from 1 species
AUUGAACGCUGGCGGCAUGCCUUACACAUGCGAGUCGAACGGCAGCGGGGGAGAAGCUUGCUUUUCCUGCCGGCGAGUGGCGAACGGGUGAGUAAUACAUCGGAACGUGCCCUGUAGUGGGGGAUAACUAGUCGAAAGAUUAGCUAAUACCGCAUACGACCUGAGGGUGCAAGUGGGGGACCGCAAGGCCUCAUGCUCUAGGAGCGGCCGAUGUCUGAUUAGCCAGUUGGUGGGGUAAAGGCCUACCAAGGCGACGAUCAGUAGCUGGUCUGAGAGGACGAUCAGCCACACUGGGACUGAGACACGGCCCAGACUCCUACGGGAGGCAGCAGUGGGGAAUUUUGGACAAUGGGCGAAAGCCUGAUCCAGCAAUGCCGCGUGUGUGAAGAAGGCCUUCGGGUUGUAAAGCACUUUUGUCCGGAAAGAAAUGGCUCUGGUUAAUACCUGGGGUCGAUGACGGUACCGGAAGAAUAAGGACCGGCUAACUACGUGCCAGCCGCCGCAGUAA